rnacentral:rRNA from 1 species
AUUGAACGCUGGCGGCAGGCCUAACACAUGCCAGUCGAGCGGAGCGGCGGACGGGUGAGUAAUGCCUCGGAAUCUGCCUGGUAGCGGGGGAUAACGUCAGGAAACGGGCGCUAAUACCGCAUACUAUCAGAUCAGCCUAGGUCGGAUUAGCUAGUUGGUGGGGUAAAGGCCGACCUGGGCGACCAUCCGUAACUGGUUUGAGAGGAUGAUCAGUCACAGUGGAACUGAGACACGGUCCAGAAUCCUACGGGAGGCAGCAGUGGGGAAUAUUGGACAAUGGGCGAAAGCCUGAUCCAGCCAUGCCGCGUGUGUGAAGAAGGUCUUCGGAUUGUAAAGCACUUUAAGUUGGGAGGCGUUACCAACAGAAUAGGCACCGGCUAACUUCGUGCCAGCAGCCGCGGUAAUAC